rnacentral:rRNA from 1 species
UAACGAACUCAACCCAAGAGAGCAAUGUGAACUAGAAGUAUAAACAAGAAGAACCCACAACUAGACCAUCGUUACCCCCACACUGGAGUGCCAUCAGAGGAAAGACUAAAAGAAAGGGAAGGAACUCGGCAAACACAAGCCUCGCCUGUUUACCAAAAACAUCGCCUCCUGCAACGCAGCCAAGUAUAGGAGGUCCAGCCUGCCCAGUGACUACAAGUUCAACGGCCGCGGUAUUUUGACCGUGCAAAGGUAGCGCAAUCACUUGUCUUUUAAAUAGAGACCUGUAUGAAUGGCUAAACGAGGGCUUAACUGUCUCCCCUUUCAAGUCAGUGAAAUUGAUCUACCCGUGCAGAAGCGGGUAUAAUUAUACAAGACGAGAAGACCCUUUGGAGCUUAAGGUACAAAACUCAACCACGUUAAGCAACUCAGUAAAAAGCAAAAACUUUAUGGGAUAUGAUAUUUUACCUUCGGUUGGGGCGACCACGGAAGAAAAAAGAUCCUCCGAGUGGACCGGGAUAAACCUCC